UCUUACAAAAAUUUACAAUGGUUAAAUUGUUAGUCAAAUUCUAUAAACAAAACAACUUUUUGAAAGCUAUUUUUUUAAUUCUAAAAAUUUAGCAUGGUUUUUAAACGAUUGGGGAAAAGUAAUUAACAAAGAAAGAAAUUUGGAGGUGGAAGUAAUGUAUAUAUGUUUAAUUUUAAAAAACAAAAACUAAAAACAAAAUGGUUACCAAACGACGCUUUGACUUUUGAUUUUUUAAAAUUAAGGUGGUAAACACUAUCUUUUCCUACAACUUUAUAUGUUUCGUCAUUUAAUCUUUUACUUUUUCAAAAACAAGAUAAAUUUUCACUAGAAGAAAUUUGGACUUUAAUGUCGAUUGGAAAAAGUGAAAUCGGAUGUAUAAUGUCAGUUUAAAAAAAAUGAAUCUUUAAUGUUGGUUUAAAACCGACAUUAAAAGUGUAAUUUUUUUUUUCUUAUUUUAUUAAAUAAUAAAACCCUAUAUCCGUCACCUCCCUCUCUUAUGCCCAAACCCUAUCUCACUCGCCUGUCCUUCACCCUUCUUCGCUCGUCCGUCGAUCUCCUUCACGCCGUCGCUCGCCCGUCUCCGUCGAUCUCCUUCACGUCGUCGACGUGAAUGAGGACUGUAGACCUUGUAGUCUCCGACGUUGAAUGAGGUUCAAGUUUGACGUGUAAAACUAAAUUGUGAUUCUUGAGAAUUUGGAAGGAAGAUAGGAAGAUUGAAUUGGACGUGUUUUAAGAAGGUUGACAAGUGGAGAAGGUGCACCCAACACAAAAAGGACUUCAUAACAACAUUAAUAACAAGGACAAGGCAACAUAUGAAUAUUUUGUCUAAGCUCAAUUCUGGUAAACAUAAAAGUAGAAAAUGGCUUCAAGAAGAGCAUAAUCGUACAUUCAGUUGGUGGUUGUCCACACGGGUUGCACUAGCUCUCGAAGUUCCUAAAAAAUCCAUAUCGCCUUCUUUGAGAUGGAUAGCUAAUGGACCUUGUCCAACUGUGGCAAAAUAUCCUGGUUAUGUAGUCAAUGGUUACUACUAUCACACAAAGAAUUGCAAUGAUGUUAGAAGGAUUCAAAAUAGUGGAGUUAGUAUAACGGCUACCACAAUGCAAGUCUCUAGUGCUAAGGAUAAAAGGCCCGUCAUGUCAGAUAUGACCUUUUAUGGUGUAAUACAAGAAAUAUGGGAGCUUGACUAUCAUGGAUUAUCAUUUAUUUUACUCAAAUGUAAUUGGGUUGAGAAUAGAACUGGAGUCAAAACAGAAGUUUGGGUUUACUAUUGUGGACCUCAAUCGUAUUGGACAUAAAUCAAACCCAUUUAUUUUAGCCUCUCAAGCAAAACAAGUGUUCUAUGUAAAAGACCCUGUAAAUUCGGGUUGGUCAUUUAUUUUAACAUCUCUACAACGAACAAUUGAGGAUGAUUUUUAUGAAGAUGAAAUAGGAGAUAUGCUACAUUAGCCAAGAAAUUGAAAGAGGGUCUAGUAAAAAAAAAAUGUUCGACAUGGUAAAGUAUCAAGAGAAAGAACUCACGACAGACAAUCUCAUCAGUCCAAAUCAUCUGUUGGAAGUGUUGCACUAAAUGCAUCUGAAGAAGAUACUGAGAAGAUGUCUAAAGAAGAUUUGGAGGUAAUUUUGGGAUGAAUGUGGUUGUGAUAUUACGAAGAAGUUUUUUAUAAUUGAUCAAGCAAGAAUACAGCCACACGUGAAGUCUCAAGAUAUCUGAUCCAGAAAUUUAGCCAAUCAACUAGAAUUGGCUAAUUUAGACCAAUUAGUCCUCAUUCCAUGUAACACACGUGGAUUGAAAACAUGGCAAGCCAAACACGAUCUCCAACACUAUCGGUCUUCUCCAAAAUGGAAACCUGUAAAAAGUGCCCUCGUCAAUUAGAUUCUGUAAGAUGCGGGUACUAUGUGCAAAAGUAUAUACACGAAAUAGUGCAUAAUCCUAUUACUCCUAUUACUAGCCUCUUCAAUACAAAAGAUGCAUAUAUGCAAGGAGAGAUCGACGUAAUUCGGACCCAAUGGGCAAGUUUUGUUGGUCAAUUUGUGUAAGGAUGUAAUUCUUGUUUUUUAUCUCAAUAGAAUGUAAAUUUUAACUUAGAAUGAAUGUAAAUUUAUCUAAUCAUGAUCUUUGUGAAUGAAAUUAGUACUAAUAUGAUAUUUGUGAAUGAGAGAAAUGAUGGCUUGGUGUAAGUAUUCUAUGAAAGUCUGGUUCUGGUAUUGUGAUUCUUGUUUAUGGAUAAA